AUUAUAAUCUACAUUGCAGCUCAACUGGAAUUCACUUACAUUUUGCUCCAGAUUACUUAACUUCCAAUUAACUUAUGUGCAAUGGUCUUGUAUACGUUAUAAAAAAAAUGUUUGUAUGAUCUCAAACAAAACUCAAUGUCGUGAUAAAUUAGUGGGAGAUGAUCGUGACUAAAACACUACACGAGUACAUACGAGUACAUACGAGUGACAUACGAGUACAUACAAGUACAUACGACUGACAUACACAACCCAGUCUCUUCCUUAAAUUAACUCUAUACGCUAAUUGUGAAAAUACCCUCAAAUUGACUCUAUAAGUAAUUUGCAACGUCCAUUCAAACAACAGGCCUUGUGACAUGAGUGGCUCCUUUGCCAGUUCUUUGCCUAAUGCUAGAUGUUCGUGGUAGAAAUAAAACUAUUAAGAAGAAAAAUGCCAGAAGAGAUAUAGUUCUUCAAAGAAGUGAAGUUGGCGAACGGAUUAUUCAUAAGCCAAGCAAAGCACUUCGAGAAAUAGAAAUACACAAAGAGGUGAGGAAAUGCUUACAACAUCUUCAGAUUUACAUGAUGUUCCACAGGAAUGAUAUGUGAUGACAGUGUUACUGAAAGAGAUCUUGAAGCUAUUCUUGAAAGCUCUCAGUUGGUUAUUGGAGAAGUGGAUACUGGGCCAUCUGCCUGGCAAAAAAAUGGAAAAUCGAGAAGAAAAAUGGGAAAGUAUGAGGGAAAAAUUA